GAUCCUGGCUCAGGAUGAACGCUAGCUACAGGCUUAACACAUGCAAGUCGAGGGGCAGCGGGAAGUCAGCUUGCUGACUUUGCCGGCGACCGGCGCACGGGUGAGUAACACGUAUCCAACCUCCCGCAUACUCGGGAAUAGCCUUUCGAAAGAAAGAUUAAUGCCCGAUGGUUUCAAGGGAUUGCAUGGUAUCUUGAAUAAAGAUUCAUCGGUAUGCGAUGGGGAGUGCGUUCCA
rnacentral:rRNA from 1 species